UCUCUCUCUCUCUCUCUCUUAUCUCAUUUUCUUCGUUCAAUUUGGAUCCACUUUCCUCUUUUGCAUAAUCUGAGUGUUACAUUUGAUUUUGGUCCCUGUCUCUCUUUGUUAUUGUGGCAAUUUGAGCAAUAGAUCUCCUAAUUUUUGGAAUCUAUUUUUUGUUUUAAAUUUUAAUUUUGUAAGUUGGUGUAAUUUUUCAAAGUUUCCUCUUGAUUGCUGUUAUCGAAUUGUGGGUACGCGGAAUUUUCUUUCUGGUGUCAUUUGGUCAUCUGCUAUAAUUUGAAUUGGUGUUAGGUUCUUAGUGCAGGCUUAGUGGCAGCAACACAUGAGUACUAUCUUUUAUUACAUCUAUUUUUGGAGGUCAAGUGAUAUUGCCUAGCAAUAGUCCGCAUUUGAGGAAGUCUGGUAGCUGACCAGUUGUCCUUGAUCUUGGGAAAUGGUGCAGAGGAAGGUUUUUUGCAUUCAAUGGAGUCUAAUGAUUUGAAGAAUACCAUUACACCAAUAAGCACUGUUGCAAUAAUGCCAUCUCUAAUAUUGUUAUGGA
rnacentral:misc_RNA from 1 species